UGCCAGACUCCUACGGGAGGCAGCAGUGGGGAAUAUUGCGCAAUGGGCGAAAGCCUGACGCAGCGACGCCGCGUGAGGGAUGAAGGUCUUCGGAUCGUAAACCUCUGUCAGCAGGGAAGAACGGUCACUGUGCUAAUCAGCAGUGAAUUGACGGUACCUGCAGAAGAAGCCCCGGCUAACUACGUGCCAGCAGCCGCGGUAAUACGUAGGGGGCGAGCGUUAUCCGGAUUCAUUGGGCGUAAAGCGCGCGUAGGCGGCCUGUUAGGUCGGGGGUCAAAUACCGGGGCUCAACUCCGGUCCGCCCCCGAUACCGGCAGGCUUGAGUCUGGUAGGGGAAGGCGGAAUUCCCAGUGUAGCGGUGGAAUGCGCAGAUAUUGGGAAGAACACCGGCGGCGAAGGCGGCCUUCUGGGCCACGACUGACGCUGAGGCGCGAAAGCUAGGGGAGCGAACAGGAUUAGAUACCCCCGUACUA
rnacentral:rRNA from 1 species